GAUGAACGCUGGCGGCGUGCCUAAUACAUGCCAGUCGAGCGGACGGACGAGAAGCUUGCUUCUCUGAUGUUAGCGGCGGACGGGUGAGUAACACGUGGAUAACCUACCUAUAAGACUGGUAUAACUUCGGGAAACCGGAGCUAAUACCGGAUAAUAUUUUGAACCGCAUGGUUCAAAAGUGAAAGACGGUCUUGCUGUCACUUAUAGAUGGAUCCGCGCUGCAUUAGAUAGUUGGUAAGGUAACGGCUUACCAAGGCAACGAGGCGUAGCCGACCGGAGAGGCUGAUAGGCCACACGGGAACGGAGACACGGUCCAGAGGCCUACGGGAGGCAGCAGUAGGGAAUGUGCGGCAAUGGGCGAAAGCCUGACGGAGCAACGCCGAGUGUGUGAUGAAGGUCUUCGGUUCGUAAAACUCUGUUAUUAGGGAAGAACAUAUGUGUAAGUAACUGUGCAGAGCUUGACGGUACCUGAUCAGAAAGCCACGGCUAACUACGUG
rnacentral:rRNA from 1 species